rnacentral:misc_RNA from 1 species
CAGACUAUCACCAAUCUCACAUCUAGUUUUGAGGGGAACGCUCUUUGGCCUUGAUGCCACCUUUACUGAUGACUUGGGAACUUGCCUUAAUGACUCUCCAAAUAACGAGCUCGCUUUCAGACUCCUGGUGGCGAAAGGAGACAUAAGAGCAGUUGAAUGCUGAGAAGAAAGAUUGGGGAGAAAAGCCCCGCGAGCACAGCAAGCAAUUCCAGUCUCCAUAGCCGACCCAAGUACAGG